ACCAAAACGUGGCCGUUUUUCCUCCCUCCCAAAAUCCCCCCUUCCUUCCCAAAAUCCCCAUUAGUCCCAGCUGGUAACUUAGGGAAAAAAGAAAAAGAAAAAAUUCCUAGCUAGCCAUCGAAACCCCUGUGUGUGGUGGUGGUCGUUUCACUCUUCUUCUUCUUCAACCUCCUUCGGAGCUCAACUCAGUCUCUCUCCACUGUGCCAUUUUCCUUUCUCCCAGCUACAACCAUCGCUGAAGGAAAAAACCCCACCAUCGCAGACCUGAAUUCUGUCUCUCUUCACCGCGUGAGCCAAGGGUCGUCGUUGCUUCUUUUCCUCCUUGCGAGGCUUGCUAUUGUUUCCCUAUUUCGCGUCGUGUGUCGCCCUCACGUCGUGUCUCUGCCUCACCGCGAGCUCCCUAUCACUGUGAGUUCACCCUGUGUACUCUUUUCAAGUUCAGCAGAAGCAACAGGGUUUGGGUGCUCAUGUAAAUAUUUUCAAGUUCAGCAAUAGGGUUUUAAUACCUUUGAUGCUAUUAAGUGGGUGGAGAAAGUUUGGAGGAAGCUGCAUGUGAGAAGAGAACAUGGGAGGAGACUGAUAUUGAAGUGGGAGAAGUUAUAUAUCACAGCUCUCAGUCACGGCCUGGAGGAAGACAUGAUGUGAAGAAAAUAUGUUCCAUACAAAUAUAAUAUGGGAUGGGUCUUACACUUUAGUUAUUUAAAUGUAAUUUUUUUAUGUGUUCUGUAUUUUUUGAAAAGAGACUUUACUCGGUAUUAAUUACAUGUAAUUGGAUACAUUACACUCUAUUUUGAUUUUUGUUGUUUAGACUAAAAAUUAAACAUAUCUAAUUUAUAAUGAAACUUUUAU